rnacentral:rRNA from 1 species
AACGAACGCUGGCGGCAUGCCUAACACAUGCAAGUCGAACGAGAUCUUCGGGUCUAGUGGCGCACGGGUGCGUAACGCGUGGGAAUCUGCCCUUUGGUUCGGAAUAACAGUUGGAAACGACUGCUAAUACCGGAUGAUGACGAAAGUCCAAAGAUUUAUCGCCAGAGGAUGAGCCCGCGUAGGAUUAGCUAGUUGGUGUGGUAAGGGCGCACCAAGGCGACGAUCCUUAGCUGGUCUGAGAGGAUGAUCAGCCACACUGGGACUGGGACACGGCCCAGACUCCUACGGGAGGCAGCAGUGGGGAAUAUUGGACAAUGGGCGAAAGCCUGAUCCAGCAAUGCCGCGUGAGUGAUGAAGGCCUUAGGGUUGUAAAGCUCUUUUACCCGGGAUGAUAAUGACAGUACCGGGAGAAUAAGCUCCGGCUAACUCCGUGCCAGCAGCCGCCGUAA